UAGCUCUGUUGGUAGAGCAUGGUGUGUGCAACGCCAGGGUUGUGGGUUCGAUUCCCAC
rnacentral:tRNA from 1 species